rnacentral:rRNA from 1 species
AACGAACGCUGGCGGCAGGCCUAACACAUGCAAGUCGAGCGGACCCUUCGGGGUUAGCGGCGGACGGGUGAGUAACGCGUGGGAAUAUGCCCUUCUCUACGGAAUAGUCCUGGGAAACUGGGGGUAAUACCGUAUACGCCCUUUGGGGGAAAGAUUUAUCGGGGAAGGAUUAGCCCGCGUUGGAUUAGGUAGUUGGUGGGGUAAUGGCCUACCAAGCCGACGAUCCAUAGCUGGUUUGAGAGGAUGAUCAGCCACACUGGGACUGAGACACGGCCCAGACUCCUACGGGAGGCAGCAGUGGGGAAUCUUAGACAAUGGGGGCAACCCUGAGCUAGCCAUGACGCGUGAGUGAUGAAGGCCUUAGGGUUGUAAAGCUCUUUCAGCUGGGAAGAUAAUGACGGUACCAGCAGAAGAAGCCCCGGCUAACUCCGUG